rnacentral:rRNA from 1 species
AACGCUAGCUACAGGCUUAACACAUGCAAGUCGAGGGGCAGCAUGGUCUUAGCUUGCUAAGGCCGAUGGCGACCGGCGCACGGGUGAGUAACACGUAUCCAACCUGCCGUCUACUCUUGGACAGCCUUCUGAAAGGAAGAUUAAUACAAGAUGGCAUCAUGAGUCCGCAUGUUCACAUGAUUAAAGGUAUUCCGGUAGACGAUGGGGAUGCGUUCCAUUAGAUAGUAGGCGGGGUAACGGCCCACCUAGUCUUCGAUGGAUAGGGGUUCUGAGAGGAAGGUCCCCCACAUUGGAACUGAGACACGGUCCAAACUCCUACGGGAGGCAGCAGUGAGGAAUAUUGGUCAAUGGGCGAGAGCCUGAACCAGCCAAGUAGCGUGAAGGAUGACUGCCCUAUGGGUUGUAAACUUCUUUUAUAAAGGAAUAAAGUCGGGUAUGGAUACCCGUUUGCAUGUACUUUAUGAAUAAGGAUCGGCUAACUCCGUGCCAGCAGCCGCGGUAAUACGGAGGAUCCGAGCGUUAUCCGGAUUUAUUGGGUUUAAAGGGAGCGUAGAUGGAUGUUUAAGUCAGUUGUGAAAGUUUGCGGCUCAACCGUAAAAUUGCAGUUGAUACUGGAUAUCUUGAGUGCAGUUGAGGCAGGCGGAAUUCGUGGUGUAGCGGCGAAAUGCUUAGAUAUCACGAAGAACUCCGAUUGCGAAGGCAGCCUGCUAAGCUGCAACUGACAUUGAGGCUCGAAAGUGUGGGUAUCAAACAGGAUUAGAUACCCUGGUAGUCCACACGGUAAACGAUGAAUACUCGCUGUUUGCGAUAUACUGCAAGCGGCCAAGCGAAAGCGUUAAGUAUUCCACCUGGGGAGUACGCCGGCAACGGUGAAACUCAAAGGAAUUGACGGGGGCCCGCACAAGCGGAGGAACAUGUGGUUUAAUUCGAUGAUACGCGAGGAACCUUACCCGGGCUUAAAUUGCAGAUGAAUUACGGUGAAAGCCGUAAGCCGCAAGGCAUCUGUGAAGGUGCUGCAUGGUUGUCGUCAGCUCGUGCCGUGAGGUGUCGGCUUAAGUGCCAUAACGAGCGCAACCCUUGUUGUCAGUUACUAACAGGUUCCGCUGAGGACUCUGACAAGACUGCCAUCGUAAGAUGUGAGGAAGGUGGGGAUGACGUCAAAUCAGCACGGCCCUUACGUCCGGGGCUACACACGUGUUACAAUGGGGGGUACAGAGGGUCGCUACCACGCGAGUGGAUGCCAAUCCCCAAAACCUCUCUCAGUUCGGACUGGAGUCUGCAACCCGACUCCACGAAGCUGGAUUCGCUAGUAAUCGCGCAUCAGCCACGGCGCGGUGAAUACGUUCCCGGGCCUUGUACACACCGCCCGUCAAGCCAUGGGAGCCGGGGGUACCUGAAGUGCGUAACCGCGAGGAGCGCCCUAGGGUAAAACUGGUGACUGGGGCUA